GGGCCCGCACAAGCGGUGGAGCAUGUGGUUCAAUUCGACGCAACGCGAAGAACCUUACCUGGGUUGGAACCCUCCAGAAGUCCGCAGAGAUGUGGAUGUGCUCGCAAGAGAACUGGAUGUCCAGGUGCUGCAUGGCUGUCGUCAGCUCGUGUCGUGAGAUGUUGGGUUAAGUCCCGCAACGAGCGCAACCCUUGUCGUUAGUUGCUAACAGUUCGGCUGAGCACUCUAACGAGACUGCCGGUGUUAAACCGGAGGAAGGUGGGGAUGACGUCAAGUCCUCAUGGCCCUUAUGCCCAGGGCUACACACGUGCUACAAUGGGCGGUACAAAGCGUCGCUAACCCGCGAGGGGGAGCCAAUCGCAAAAAACCGUCCUCAGUUCAGAUUGCAGUCUGCAACUCGACUGCAUGAAGUUGGAAUCGCUAGUAAUCCCUGAUCAGCAGGCAGGGGUGAAUACGUUCCCGGGCCUU
rnacentral:rRNA from 1 species